GAUGAACGCUAGCGGCAGGCUUAAUACAUGCAAGUCGAGGGGUAACAUGGUAGCAAUACUGAUGACGACCGGCAAACGGGUGCGGAACACGUACAGAACCUUCCUUUAAGCGGGGGAUAGCCCAUAGAAAUGUGGAUUAAUACCCCAUAGUAUUAUUGGGUGGCAUCACUUGGUAAUUAAAGAUUUAUUGCUCUAAGAUGGCUGUGCGGCUGAUUAGGUAGUUGGUUGGGGAACGGCCCACCAAGCCAGCGAUCAGUAACUGGUGUGAGAGCACGACCAGUCACACGGGCACUGAGACACGGGCCCGACUCCUACGGGAGGCAGCAGUAAGGAAUAUUGGUCAAUGGACGCAAGUCUGAACCAGCCAUGCCGCGUGAAGGAUAAAGGUCCUCU
rnacentral:rRNA from 1 species